rnacentral:rRNA from 1 species
GACGAACGCUGGCGGCGUGCUUAACACAUGCAAGUCGAACGGAAAGGCCCUGCUUUUGUGGGGUGCUCGAGUGGCGAACGGGUGAGUAACACGUGAGUAACCUUCCCUUGACUUUGGGAUAACUUCAGGAAACUGGGGCUAAUACCGGAUAGGAGCUCCUGCUGCAUGGUGGGGGUUGGAAAGUUUCGGCGGUUGGGGAUGGACUCGCGGCUUAUCAGCUUGUUGGUGGGGGAGUGGCUUACCCAGGCUUUGGCGGGUAGCCGGCCUGGGAGGGUGACCGGCCACAUGGGGACUGCGAUACGGCCCAGACUCCUACGGGAGGCAGCAGUGGGGAAUAUUGCACAAUGGGCGGAAGCCUGAUGCAGCAACGCCGCGUGCGGGAUGACGGCCUUCGGGUUGUAAACCGCUUUCGCCUGUGACGAAGCGUGAGUGACGGUAAUGGGUAAAGAAGCACCGGCUAACUACGUG